rnacentral:rRNA from 1 species
CCUACGGGAGGCAGCAGUGGGGAAUAUUGCACAAUGGGCGAAAGCCUGACCCAGCGACGCCGCGUGAGGGAUGAAGGUCUUCGGAUUGUAAACCUCUUUCAGUAGGGAAGAAGCGAAAGUGACGGUACCUAAAGAAGAAGCACCGGCUAACUAUGUGCCAGCAGCCGCGGUAAUACAUAGGGUGCAAGCGUUGUCCGGAAUUAUUGGGCGUAAAGAGCUCGUAGGUCGUUUGUCGCGUCGAUUGUGAAAAUCUGAGGCUCAACCUCAGACCUGCAGUCGGUACGGGCAAACUAGAGUGUGGUUGGGGAGACUGGAAUUCCUGGUGUAGCGGUGGAAUGCGCAGAUAUCAGGAGGAACACCAAUGGCGAAGGCAGGUCUCUGGGCCAUAACUGACACUGAGGAGCGAAAGUGCGGGGAGCGAACAGGAUUAGAUACCCUGGUAGUCCGCACCGUAAACGGUGGGCACUAGUUGUGGGAACCUUCCACGGUUUCCGCGACGCAGCAAACGCAUUAAGUGCCCCGCCUGGGGAGUACGAUCGCAAGAUUAAAACUCAAAGGAAUUGACGG